CAAGAAGAGUAACAAUAGAUGAGCUAGCCUUUUUGGAUCCUAAUUUGUAUAAGUAUCUAUCAAACGUUUUGACACACGUUAUGAUUGGUGGUACAAUGCUUGCCCUAGCUGUGCCAAACAAAUGCAUAAGGACCCGUCGACCGGAUAACUCAUCUGUCAGAAACACCCCAACCAAAUUCCAAUACCAUGGUACAAAGUUAAUUUGAUUCUUGAAGACAACACUAAUGAAAUUAGUGCUUUGAUAAUUGGCAAAGGUGUGGAGAAAAACUCUUUGGUAUGCCCUGCAAAGAUUUGGUCAUGAAUCAGAGAUUGAUUGACCAACAACAACUGCCAAAUGAGUUUUUGCGACUGAUUAGACAAAAGAAGAUUUUCCACUUGCGAUUCGGAAAUAGAAAAAAUAGUUUCAACUCAAGUGACGUGUUGGUUUACAAUGUGUCUGAUGAUACAGCUAUAGAACCAAUAACUCCACAAAUCUUACCAAGAGCAGUCACAAUUCUUCCACUAUUGUAUUAUCUUUGACCUCACCACCUAAAACAAGCGGAGAAUCACAUAAACGAAAGAGGGAGUCUGUGAGGAAAGCUCUUUUUACUGGCAGUGAACAGAGUGAAGCAGAAGAAAUUUCAGAAGUUGACCCGAAAGAAUUUGAUGAAAUACCUAUCAAAUUGCUGAAAAAAAAAAAAUCACCUCCAGCUUCUGCAAAAACAGAUAGUCCCUCCAAAAAUUAACUAGGUUGGUUUCUCAAUGUCAACAUUGAUAAUGGUCCUGCUAUAAGACGUUUCCUCCUCUGCUACAAUAUAUUUUGCAUCUUUUGCUACUCUGUAUUAAACAUUGUGUAAUAUCUUUGGUGGUUGUAAAUACCACUUUCUGCACAAAACUGGACAAUAUUUUUUGCACCUCCGUAUACCAACAUUUGUUAAUUUUUUGUGUACAGAAGCUGGUUUAGUUUUUAGAGCACAAAGAACAGCUAAAGUAGAAUAUAUAGCUCUAAUAUUUUUUGUAUCCCUGUAUGAAAGUAUCUGCUAAUAUUUUGUUUGUAAGUAUGAUCAUCCUAAUCCAAAAACACUUAUAA